UGGGUGAAUCAUAUCAGCUAGGUUGAGAGC
rnacentral:piRNA from 1 species